GACGAACGCUGGCGGCGUGCCUAAUACAUGCAAGUAGGACGCAGUUGCGAACGGGUGAGUAACGCGUAGGUAACUGCCUAUUAGAGGGGGAUAACUAUUGGAAACGAUAGCUAAUACCGCAUACUAGUAGAUGGACCUGCGUUGUAUUAGCUAGUAGGUAGGGUAAUGGCCUACCUAGGCGACGAUACAUAGCCGACCUGAGAGGGUGGUCCGCCCCCCUUGGACUGGGACACGGCCCCGACUCCUACGGGAGGCCGCAGUUGGGGAACUUCCGCCAUGGGGGGAACCCUGACCGAGCAACGCCGGCGGAGUGAAGAAGGUUUUCGGGUCGUAAAGCUCUGUUGUUAAGGAAGCGGUACUUAACCAGAAAGGGACGGCUAACUACGUGCCAGCAGCCGCGGUAAUUC
rnacentral:rRNA from 1 species